AAUGAACGCUGGCGGCAGGCUUAACACAUGCAAGUCGAGCGAGAGGCGGACGGGUGAGUAAGGUAUGGACAACUGCGUGAUGUAGGGGGAUAACUGGUGGAAACGGUAGCUAAUACCGCAUAGCAUCAGCUGUGCUGACAGGGGUUUAGCUAGUCGGGGGGGUAAUGGCUCACCAAGGCGACGAUCCCUAGCUGGACGGAGAGGGUGCCCGGCCACACUGGAACUGAGACACGGCCCAGACUCCUACGGGAGGCAGCAGUGGGGAAUAUUGGACAAUGGGCGAAAGCCUGAUGCAGCAACGCCGCGUGUGUGAAGAAGGCUUUCGGAUUGUAAAGCACUGUCAGCGGGGAGGCGUUAUCCACCGAAGAAGCACCGGCUAACUCCGUGCCAGCCGCCGCGGUAAUAC
rnacentral:rRNA from 1 species